UACGUAGGGUGCGAGCGUUAAUCGGAAUUACUGGGCGUAAAGCGUGCGCAGGCGGUUCCUCAAGUCCGGUGUGAAAGCCCCGGGCUCAACCUGGGAAUGGCAGUGGAAACUAGGGGACUGGAAUCUGGCAGAGGGGGGUGGAAUGCCGCGUGUAGCAGUGAAAUGCGUAGAGAUGCGGCGGAACACCGAUGGCGAAGGCAGCCCCCUGGGCUGAGAUUGACGCUCAGGCACGAAAGCGUGGGGAGCAAACAGG
rnacentral:rRNA from 1 species